AGCCUAUCUGGUCUGACCCUGUGGAACCACCCGUACCUGAGCCUGCUGGACUUCGGCGUGUACUCUCUGAGGACCGGAGACUCUUAAGACCUGGUGGUAGGCUCAGAAAGCAACAGCUUGGAUCCCAGAAUGACAGCGUGGAGCAGAGCCCCACUCCUUUCAGUGGACUGUGACACAAGCAAGAAACAAACUGAGCUUAAGCCACUAAGACCUGGGUUGUUACACUAAUCGGCCUGCCUUGGCUACUAUUUAAAUAGCUGGGAUUCAGCCUGCAGGCACUGGUUUAAAUGUCACUCUGUCCUUUGAGUCGAACUCCCUGGUUGCUUUAACUGCCUGGAGCUGGGACAGAGGGUACACACUAGGGUGAGACUGGAGUCAGGACCGGACCCAGGACGCAAGCCCAGGCACUCGGAUACGGAACACAGCCAUCCCAAGUGGCAUCCUACCUGCUAGACCAAAUGUCUGUGCCAGCAUUUGCAGAGAUAGGUGCUGGUUCGAGACCCGGCUGCUCCACAUCCUGUCCAGCUCUCUGUUGUGGCCUGGGAAAGCAGUGGAAGAUGGUUCAAGUGCUUGGGUCCCUGCACCCACGUGGGAGACCCUGAAGAAGCUCCUGGCUCCUGGCUCCGGAUCGGCACAGCUCUGGCCAUUGCGGCCAUCUGGGGAGUGAACCAGCGGAUGGAAGACCUCUCUUUUCUCUCUCUGCCUCUCCUCUCACUCUGUGUAACUCUGACUUUCAAAUAAAUAAAUAAAUCUUAAAAAAAAAAAAAAAAAAAGAGGAGACAUUUGUGUCCAGGAACCUCAAGCACCCUUAACUAGCUCCCGCAUCUGCGAUGAGGUGGCCCCUUAGUCUGGUGGGUGAUCUCUGUGGGUUCUUUACCUUCCCAAAGUCUUGGGCCCUGGCAUGGCUGGAGCCACCUUGACUCUCUCCCUCCACUUGCCCACAUCUCCUCUGAGGGCCUUGGAGAAGAGGCACUGCCUCCCUUCCAAGGGUGUCCCUACGCAUAGAGAAGAGAUGGAGUCAACCAGCCAGACCAGCCAAAGGCCCCUGCCGAGGAGCUGGGGGUG